rnacentral:rRNA from 1 species
CCUACGGGAGGCAGCAGUGAGGAAUAUUGGUCAAUGGACGAGAGCCUGAACCAGCCAAGUAGCGUGAAGGAUGACUGCACUAUGGGUUGUAAACUUCUUUUAUAUGGGAAUAAAACGUUCCACGUGUGGGAUUUUGUAUGUACCAUAUGAAUAAGGAUUGGCUAACACCGUGCCAAUAGCCGCGGUAAUACGGAGGAACCGAGCGUUCUCCGGAUUUUUUGGGUUUAAAGGGAGCGUAGGUGGAUUGUUAAGUCAGUUGUGAAAGUUUGCGGCUCAACCGGAAAAUUGCAGUGGAAACUGGCAGUCUUGAGUACAGUAGAGGUGUGCGGAAUUCGUGGUGUAGCGGUGAAAUGCUUAGAUAUCACGAAGAACUCCGAUUGCGAAGGCAGUUCACUGGACUGCAACUGACACUGAGGCUCGAAAGUGUGGGUAUCAAACAGGAUUAGAUACCCGAGUAGUC